rnacentral:rRNA from 1 species
GAGUUUGAUCCUGGCUCAGUAAUCAACGCUAGCGGCAGGCCUAACACAUGCAAGUCGAACGGUAACAGGGAUUGCUUGCAAUCCGCUGACGAGUGGCGCACAGGUGCGUAACGCGUAUACAAUCUGCCUUACACUGGGGGAUUUUACAUAUAAAAAAUGAAGAUUAAUACCCCAUGGUAUGUGACUGUGGCAUCACAGACACAUUAAAGGUUACGGUGUAAGAUGAGUAUGCGUCCUAUUAGUUAGUUGGUGAGGUAACGGCUCACCAAGGCUACGAUAGGUAGGGGCCCUGAGAGGGGGAUCCCCCACACUGGUACUGAGACACGGACCAGACUCCUACGGGAGGCAGCAGUGAGGAAUAUUGGACAAUGGGCGAGAGCCUGAUCCAGCCAUGCCGCGUGCAGGAAGACUGCCCUAUGGGUUGUAAACUGCUUUUAUACGGGAAGAAACACUUCCUACGUGUAGGGGCCUUGACGGUACCGUAAGAAUAAGCAUCGGCUAACUUCCGUGCCAGCAGCCGCCGGUAAUACCGGAGGAUGCCAAGCGUUAUCCGGAAAUCUUUGGGUUUUAAAGGGUCCGUAAGGC